rnacentral:rRNA from 1 species
UACGAAGGGUGCAAGCGUUACUCGGAAUUACUGGGCGUAAAGCGCGCGUAGGCGGCUAUUCAAGUCAGAGGUGAAAUCCCUGGGCUCAACCCAGGAAUUGCCUUUGAAACUGUAUAGCUAGAGUGUCGGAGGGGAUAGCGGAAUUGCUAAUGUAGAGGUGAAAUUCGUAGAUAUUAACAGGAACACCGGUGGCGAAGGCGGCUAUCUGGACGACAACUGACGCUGAGGCGCGAAAGCACGGGGAUCAAACAGG